UUGAGAGCGGCGGACGGGUGAGUAAUGCCUAGGAAUCUGCCUGGUAGUGGGGGAUAACGUUCGGAAACGGACGCUAAUACCGCAUACGUCCUACGGGAGAAAGCAGGGGACCUUCGGGCCUUGCGCUAUCAAAUGAGCCUAGGUCGGAUUAGCUAGUUGGUGAGGUAAUGGCUCACCAAGGCGACAAUCCGUAACUGGUCUGAGAGGAUGAUCAGUCACACUGGAACUGAAACACGGUCCAAACUCCUACGGGAGGCAGCAGUGGGGAAUAUUGGACAAUGGGCGAAAGCCUGAUCCAGCCAUGCCGCGUGUGUGAAGAAGGUCUUCGGAUUGUAAAGCACUUUAAGUUGGGAGGAAGGGCAUUAACCUAAUACGUUAGUGUUUUGACGUUACCGACAGAAUAAGCACCGGCUAACUCUGUGCCAGCAGCCGCGGUAAUACAGAGGGUGCAAGCGUUAAUCGGAAUUACUGGGCGUAAAGCGCGCGUAGGUGGUUCGUUAAGUUGGAUGUGAAUCCCCGGGCUCAACCUGGGAACUGCAUUCAAAACUGUCGAGCUAGAGUAUGGUAGAGGGUGGUGGAAUUUCCUGUGUAGCGGUGAAAUGCGUAGAUAUAGGAAGGAACACCAGUGGCGAAGGCGACCACCUGGACUGAUACUGACACUGAGGUGCGAAAGCGUGGGGGAGCAAACAGGAUUAGAUACCCUGUAGUCCACGCCGUAAACGAUGUCAACUAGCCGUUGGGAGCCUUGAGCUCUAGUGGCGCAGCUAACGCAUAGUGACGCUGAGAGUACGUCGCAGCUAAACUCAAUGAUGACGGGGCC
rnacentral:rRNA from 1 species